rnacentral:tRNA from 1 species
GCCGGAUUAGCUCAGUUGGUAGAGCACAUCAUUCGUAAUGAUGGGGUCAGGUGUUCGAAUCACCUAUCCGGCA